rnacentral:rRNA from 1 species
UACGUAGGGUGCGAGCGUUGUCCGGAUUUAUUGGGCGUAAAGGGCUCGUAGGCGGCCUGUCGCGUCGGGAGUGAAAGCCCACUGCUUAACGGUGGGUCUGCUUUCGGUACGGGCAGGCUAGAGUUCGGCAGGGGAGACUGGAAUUCCUGGUGUAGCGGUGAAAUGCGCAGAUAUCAGGAGGAACACCGGUGGCGAAGGCGGGUCUCUGGGCCGAUACUGACGCUGAGGAGCGAAAGCGUGGGGAGCGAACAGG